rnacentral:lncRNA from 1 species
AUCCGGAGCCAAGGUCCGCUCGGUAUCUUAAAUAGUGAAGAUGGAGAAAUAGUCAAUAAUGAAGAGCAUGAAUAUGCAUCCAAAAAAAGGAAAAAGGACCAUUUUAGAAAUGACACAAAUACUCAAAGUUUUUAUCAUGAAAAAUGGAUCUAUGUCCAUAAAGAAAGCACAAAAGAAAGGCAUGGCUAUUGCACCUUGGGAGAAGCCUUUAAUCGGUUAGACUUCUCAAGUGCAAUUCAAGAUAUCCGAAGGUUCAAUUAUGUGGUCAAAAUGAUGAUUAUUCCCCACCUUCUAAGAGACAAAGACCAACGAGCCACCACAGCCACCAGUCCCAGAACCCGCCAAUGCUGGGGAACGGAAAAUGAGGGAGUUCAACUCUGGCCCUCACAAUCCAGUGGAGGAGACGCAACUCAUCUGCCUCUGUCCCUCUGGGCACGCCUCAUGCCAGGUGCAUCUGUGGACAGGGGCCAUGCUCCUGGGCUUCCAAAGUUGGAGAAAGCUGCCAGGCUCAGGUCUGAAGGCCAGAAUUCUACAGUAAGUCCUACUGAGUCAAGGUGGGAGCAGGGUCGGUAGCUUCCGAGGCUCUGCGGGAGAAUCUGUUUCCUGGCCGUAGAGGUGGCCUGCACUCCUCAGCCUGUGCUGCCCGUCUCGAAUGACUGGAGUUUCCUGCUUCUGUCACUACACCUCCCACCCUCUCCAUCACCUGCUCUGCUCUUACAAGGAUCCGAAGAAAUGGAAUCAUCGUAUCGCUGAUCUACGUAAACAAACUGAAGAAUUGUCUGAAAGAAAAUAUGACAUGAACUUAUGAAUUCAACAGGUGAAGAUUUACAACUUGAUAAAUCAACUUUGUCAGCUCGAGCUGUAAAAGCCAAAGGUCCGGUGAUGAUCCCAUACCCUUUUUUCCAGUCUCAUGUUGAAGAUUUUUAUGUAGAAGGCCUUCCCAAAGGAAUUUUUUUUUUUUUUUUUUGAGAUGGAGUUUUCACUCUUAUCGCCCAGGCUGGGGUGCAAUGGCGCAACCUUGCUGGUCACUGCAACCUCUGCCUCCUGGGUUCAAGAAAUUCUCCUGCCUUAGCCUCCCAAGUCACUGGGAUUACAGGUGCCCACCACCACACCAGGCUAAUUUUUGUAUUUUUAGUGGAGAUGCGGUUUCACCAUGUUGGCCGGGCCAGUCUCGAACUCCUGACGUCAAGUGAUCUUCCCGCCUCGACUCCUGAUAUCAAGUGAUCUUCCCGCCUCGGCCUCCCAGAGUGCUGAGAUUACAGACGUGAACCCAUGCCUGGCCAGGAAUUUUGUUUUUUAGGAAGGCUUUCUACUAAUGGAAUUCCUGGCCUUGAGAGGAUGUUACUUUAGAAGGAAAGGAUUUUUUUGUUAUUAAAAGAGCCACCUAAGCUGAAGAUUCCCUUGAGAACAAGUACUGUCCCUAGUUUCCCAGUGCUGGAAUAUAGAAAAUGGAUGGACAACUGGAUCUACCAUGAAAGACUUGUGAAUCCAGGAAGAGAGACUGACUGGGCAACAUGUUAUUCAGGUACAAAAAGAUUUGGACUGUAACUUAAAAAUGAUCAAAUUAUGUUUCCCAUGCAUCAGGUGCAAUGGGAAGCUCUUCUGGAGAGUGAGAGAAGCUUCCAGUUAAGGUGACAUUGAAGCCAAGUCCUGAAAGAUGAGGAAGAGUUGUAUGAGAGUGGGGAGGGAAGGGGGAGGUGGAGGGAUGGGGAAUGGGCCGGGAUGGGAUAGCGCAAACUGCCCGGGAAGGGAAACCAGCACUGUACAGACCUGAACAACGAAGAUGGCAUAUUUUGUUCAGGGAAUGGUGAAUUAAGUGUGGCAGGAAUGCUUUGUAGACACAGUAAUUUGCUUGUAUGGAAUUUUGCCUGAGAGACCUCAUUGCAGUUUCUGAUUUUUUGAUGUCUUCAUCCAUCACUGUCCUUGUCAAAUAGUUUGGAACAGGUAUAAUGAUCACAAUAACCCCAAGCAUAAUAUUUCGUUAAUUCUCACAGAAUCACAUAUAGGUGCCACAGUUAUCCCCAUUUUAUGAAUGGAGUGAUGAAAACCUUAGGAAUAAUGAAUGAUUUGCGCAGGCUCACCUGGAUAUUAAGACUGAGUCAAAUGUUGGGUCUGGUCUGACUUUAAUGUUUGCUUUGUUCAUGAGCACCACAUAUUGCCUCUCCUAUGCAGUUAAGCAGGUAGGUGACAGAAAAGCCCAUGUUUGUCUCUACUCACACACUUCCGACUGAAUGUAUGUAUGGAGUUUCUACACCAGAUUCUUCAGUGCUCUGGAUAUUAACUGGGUAUCCCAUGACUUUAUUCUGACACUACCUGGAGUUAGCACAGACCCCACAAGUUAGGGGCUCAGUCCCACGAGGCCAUCCUCACUUCAGAUGACAAUGGCAAGUCCUAAGUUGUCACCAUACUUUUGACCAACCUGUUACCAAUCGGGGGUUCCCGUAACUGUCUUCUUGGGUUUAAUAAUUUGCUAGAACAGUUUACGGAACUCAGAAAAACAGUUUAUUUUCUUUUUUUCUGAGAGAGAGGGUCUUAUUUUGUUGCCCAGGCUGGUGUGCAAUGGUGCAGUCAUAGCUCAUUGCAGCCUUGAUUGUCUGGGUUCCAGUGGUUCUCCCACCUCAGCCUCCCUAGUAGCUGAGACUACAUGCCUGCACCACCACAUCUGGCUAGUUUCUUUUAUUUUUUGUAUAGAUGGGGUCUUGUUGUGUUGGCCAGGCUGGCCACAAAUUCCUGGUCUCAAGUGAUCCUCCCACCUCAGCCUCUGAAAGUGCUGGGAUUACAGAUGUGAGCCACCACAUCUGGCCAGUUCAUUUCCUAUUACUGGUUCAUUGUGAAGGAUACAUCUCAGAAACAGUCAAUGAAAGAGACGUGCAUGCUGGAUGCAGUGGCUCAUGCCUGUAAUCUCAGCACUUUGGGAGGCCAAGGUGGGAGGAUCGCUUAAACUCAGGAGUUUGAGACCAGCCUGGGCAACAUGGUGAAAACCUGUCUCUAUAAAAAAUUAAAAAAUAAUAAUAAUAACUGGUGUGGUGUUGUGCACCUAGAGUUCCAACUACUAGGGAAGCUGAGAUGAGAGGAUACCUUGAGCUGGGGACUGGGGAGGCUUAGGUUACAGUAAGCUGAGAUUGUGCCACUGCACUCCAGCUUGGACAAAAGAGCCUGAUCCUGUCUCAAAAAAAAGAAAGAUACCCAGGGCAAGUUAAGUUCGGAGGGGCACAGAGCUCCCAUGCCCUCUGUUGAACAUGCGACCCUCCCAGCAUCUCCUGUGUCCAGCAACCCUGAAAGCUCUGCAAACCCCUUUCAGGGUGUUUAUGGAGGCUUUAUUAUGCAAGCAUGAUUGAUAAAACCUUUGGCUGUUGGUGAUUAAGUCAGUCUCCAGCCCCUCUUCCCCCUGGAGUUCAGUGCAUGAGGCUGAAAGUUCCAAGCCUCUUACCAUGUGGUUGCAUGGUAAUCAGCCCUCCUCUUGAAGAAAUUUAGGAGCUUGCAGUCACCCAGUCAUCUCAACAACAUCCCCAAAUGCAUUCUUACCAUGCUGGAGAUCCCAAAGUUCUUAGAGGCUCUUGUGUUAGAAACCUGGGACCAAGAUCAAAUAUUAAAACAAAAGAUGCUCCUGUCACAUCUAUCACUGAGGUCUUUGUAAGAGCUUUAGAAGCUCUGUGCCAGGAACCAGGGACAGAGAUUAAAUAUAUAUUUCUUUUCUUUUUUUUGAGACAGAAUCUCCCUGUGCCAUCCAGGCUGGAGUGCAGUGAUGUGAUCAUAGCUCACUAUAGCUUUGGCCUUCUGAGAUCAAGCAAUCCUCCCAUCUCAA